GUUGAACGCUGGCGGCAGGCCUAACACAUGCAAGUCGAACGAGUGGCGGACGGGUGAGGAAUGUCUGGGAAACUGCCCGAUGGAGGGGGAUAACUACUGGAAACGGUAGCUAAUCCCGCAUACCAUCGGAUGUGCCCCGAUGGGAUUAGCUAGUCGGUGGGGUAACGGCUCACCUAGGCGACGAUCCCUAGCUGGUCUGAGGGGCUGACCGGCCACACUGGAACGGAGGCACGGUCCAGACUCCUACGGGAGGCAGCAGUGGGGAAUACUGCAGAAUGGGCGCAAGCCUGAUGCAGCCAUGCCGCGGGUAUGAUGAAGGCCUUCGGGUUGUAAAAUACUGUCAUCGAGGAGGCGGUACCUGUAGAAGAAGCACCGGCUAACUCCGUGCCAGCAGCCGCGGUAAUUC
rnacentral:rRNA from 1 species